CAGCAGCCGCGGUAAUACGAAGGGAGCAAGCGUUAAUCGGAAUUACUGGGCGUAAAGCGUGCGUAGGCGGUGAGUUAAGUCUGCUGUGAAAUCCCCGGGCUCAACCUGGGAAUGGCAGUGGAUACUGGCUCGCUAGAGUGUGUCAGAGGAUGGCGGAAUUCCCGGUGUAGCGGUGAAAUGCGUAGAGAUCGGGAGGAACAUCAGUGGCGAAGGCGGCCAUCUGGGCCAACACUGACGCUCAUGCACGAAAGCGCGGGGAGCAAACAGGAUUAGAUACCCGCGUAGUCCCUGUCUCUUAUAC
rnacentral:rRNA from 1 species